rnacentral:lncRNA from 1 species
CUCUCUUUCAGUUCCCCUCAGAAACAGUUUACCCUUCAAUGCUUAGGUCAUGUCUCCCUCCCAGCCCCCCCGGGUAUAAAACCCAGGGAGGUCUGAUUUCCGGGUUCCUCAGCUGUAUUGAAGCUGUGGCACCAGAGACAAGAUUCCAUUAUGCCCUGGAAGCUUUCAUGAACCUUGAGGAAGGAGCUCACAAUGAACCCCUGGCUUCUGUUUUCUCUUGCUGCCAUCUGUAUCUCUCCAAAGAUUUAAAGGCAUCAUACCACAGUGAUAUAUGCUUGGAAGCAGCCCAUAUGCCCAUCAGCAGAUGAAUGGAUAAAGAAAAUGUGGAAGAGCAAAUGGACUAAGUACUCUGGACCCAAUCCUAGAUAUAAAGAAGAUAAUCCUCCCUUUCCUUUGAACAUAACUAAUGAACAUCAGUGUGUAAACUAUUCAGAGAAUUCAAAGAUCCAGAAUUCUUCAAUCGCUUCUCGGCCUUUUGGCUAAGAUCAAGUGCAGAAUUCUUCAUCCUGCAAAUUGUCCUUCAGACCUUGUAAGAAAUGGAAAAGAGCUUUUUCAGGGAGAUGGAAAACAUGGUCAGAAAGUUGGAAACACAUAAAUAAUGGAAGAGAACUAAAGAAGGAAUAAGUGAAGGUGCACCCAUUGUAACAAAUACUCCACUGUGGGUGAUGCAGGAUGCCAUAUUUGGAGAGUCCAUGCAGCAUGAGGAAAAUCUGUGUACCUUCUGCUCAGUUUUGCUGCAAACAUAAAAUUACUGUAAAAAUAAAUAUUUUCUUAAAAUGAAGCUAAUAGUACUUAUUCUUUACAUGGCUGUAAGAAUUAGAACUAACAGAAAAUAUGUCAAGCUGACACAUCAUGGCUGCUUUCUAAGUAUGGG